ACAAAGGGGGAGGAGAUGUCCUCAAAGAAGUGUGGAAUACGAUCGCAUAUGUCUAAGUUUUUAAAGGAAAAGAAAAAAGUAACCUUGAACUGCGGACCUAAUGGCGUUUAAGUAUCAGGAAGAUGGAUGCGUGUGUUCCCAGGGCAGAUGGCCAUGAUGCUUUGCUAUGCAUAUGGCUCACAGAUUACCACUCCAGCAGGGUGUCAGAACUGAUGAGGCAGCACUGGAGCAGAGUGUUGUGCCAUUUGCAUUUGAGCUUUACUGCUUAGCUGCAUGGAUGGCCACGCUGCUUUUCAUGCUUUAUGUCAGAGGGUGAAUCCUGAACACAAACAUGUCGGAGUGCAAGCCUCAGGACUGCUUUUAAUACAGUUUUUCUGUAGGAACAAGCAUUUUGAUGCAUUCCACUAAUUUGAAUGUUAAUGCCUUUGAAAUUUAAAUUAUUAAGUUUUUAAGUGUUAUUACAAAUGUUAGUAUAUAAUUUUAGUAGAAUACAGUGCAGUGUUUAUACUAACUCGUUGCUUGAAAAUUCUCUUUAAAUAGUUGAAUUAGCUUUGGAAUCAUUUUCAUUUAUCAUUUAGAUAAAGUGGAAUGCCACUGUCAUACUGUUAUUGAUAAUCAUCUAAUCCUGUCAUUGUAAAUAUUGA